UACGUAGGGGGCAAGCGUUGUCCGGAAUCAUUGGGCGUAAAGAGCGUGUAGGCGGCUCGAUAAGUCUGCUGUGAAAGUCCAGGGCUCAACCCUGGAAGGCCGGUGGAAACUGUCGGGCUAGAGUCCGGAAGAGGCGAGUGGAAUUCCCGGUGUAGCGGUGAAAUGCGCAGAUAUCAGGAGGAACACCGGUGGCGAAGGCGGAUCUCUGGGCCUUACCUGACGCUCAGGUGCGAAAGCUAGGGGAGCGAACAGG
rnacentral:rRNA from 1 species